rnacentral:rRNA from 1 species
UACGGUGGGAGCAAGCGUUGUUCGGAUUUACUGGGCGUAAAGGGCGCGUAGGCGGCCACCGCAAGUCAGUUGUGAAAUCUCUGGGCUUAACCCAGAACGGUCAGCUGAUACUGCGGGGCUAGAGUGCAGAAGGGGCAACUGGAAUUCUCGGUGUAGCGGUGAAAUGCGUAGAUAUCGAGAGGAACACCUGCGGCGAAGGCGGGUUGCUGGGCUGACACUGACGCUGACAGCGCGAAAGCUAGGGGAGCGAACGGG